AUAUUAAUGUUUGGGAAAUGCUGGCCUAGGAAACAGAUUAAGUUGUUUUAACUGAAGAUGCUUCUUCCCAACCAAGUUUGGAGAACAGACUCUGUGGCCCGGCCAGGAAAGCAGAUGAGGGUUCUUGGUAAAUUUCUUCCUAAGAUAGAAGGACCCCAUGAGGAAACCCAAGGUUCUGGGUCGUCAGUGUUUAUACGGAUUCAUUUUCAUGCUCCAACUUGUGAGUUUGGAGGUGCCUGGGUUUUUUUUUUUUUUUUUUUUUUUUACUUUAAUAUGAUGAGAUAAAUAUAUGGUCCUGGAUUAUCUUACUCCCUCUUCUCUAGACCGUUCCAGAAAUAGUCAUUCAUAAGCCUUAGGGGAGUUGAGAUGAAAACUUUUGGAACAUGGAAUUUUGGUCCAAAUGGGAUUUUUCCUGGUGUUACUAAUUAAGAUUCUUGUCAAAACCAGGCCAGCUCCAUGCUCUCCAGUUGGCAGCAUGUUCAGAAUCUCUCUGUAAACAGGCAGAGGCUUGUACAAAUAGGGAGGCUUUUCUUUCCCAUCAUAAGAAGGGCCCGAAAUCAAUCCCAGACAACUCUAGAAGUUUGUUUUUGUCAUAAAAAUAGUGGGAUUCAUUGAAAGCUACCUCAGCGCACCCAGAUGGGAUACAGGCUGGCCAGUUCAUUGGUCUUGGGAACCAGUGGGUGGUGGGUUUCACUCUCUUCAAAUUGCAGUAGGGAGGCCAGGCUUAGCUUCACUUUCUGGAGCGUUUAAAGCUUUGCAUUUUAGUGACACUAGUGUCCAGAGAGAGUAAACAAGGGGUCUUAAAGACCCUGUGGACCUCUGCAGUUGCUCUUCAUUAAAAAGAUUCUCCUAAGCUUUACACGGCUGGGAGCUGGUAUCACAGAGCUCCUCGUUGAGACAGAAAUCACGAAGGUCAAGUCCUGACUUCUGGGUGGUUAGCUGAGAAAACCAAAGGUAGCACUUUCACACUUUUUUCAUUAAUAGACUCGAGUGGGUGGCCAACACAGCCCAAAAAGCUAAGUAGUUGGAUGGAACCAGGGCUGGAAAAGCCAGAAGGGAGCAAAUGACAAGCGCCCAGGGCUUUGAAUAUUGUAUGAGCAAAUAACCAUUUGUUGAGUGAAUGACUGAGCAAUUGAUGCUCCACAGGGACAGAAAAGUUGUUUGUCGUGUUCAUCUCUGUCUACUCAGAGGCGAGAAUGGUGCCUGAUAAGUGGCAGAUUCUGGAUAAAGGUUUGUUGUCUGUGGGAAUGGACUGGACCACUUGCCUUUGGGCAGGGACGCUUGAAACGGAGUCCUUUUUGCAUCACUUAGCCCUGUGCAUCACUUAAGCAUUCCUGCCCAUUUUCUAUGGCUCAUUUUCUAAGUCCUUGUGCUUCUUUCCCCUGCUUCUUUAACGGGGGUUUUCCAGUACCUGAGCUGAUCCAAGAACUUUUGCUGUUAAUGGGAACGGCUUGUUUAUCAAAUUAGGACGACGUGAAGAUAGGGACUGAGAUCCAGCAUCCAGUUUACAGACUUUUUAACAACAACAACGGUAGGGAUUUUCCUUUGAAAAUUUGCUAAGAGCUAAGGUGAGAGCUAAGCACCUCUACACGUAAGAUCUGAGUGCCUCUCACAAAACUGCAAAAAACCCUAGCUAUUGCACAGGCUCAGGAGCUAUAUCAAGCGCUGGUGUGUUCCGGCUUUAGAACUGCUUGGGUAGAGAAGUCAGAUGAGGGCGAGGGCCUCAAAUUCUGCCCCAUUUACUCUGAGGCUGAGGCAGCGAGUGGGGCUGACGGCGGAAGUCAGAGAGAAAGUACGGCGCAUCCAGCAUGGGUGGUGGGGACAAGUACUUCCUCUCCAAUAGCAUGUGGGCUGGGAGGCAGGAGGGCUCAGGCUUCCACCCGGUGCUGUGGGGUGAUUCAAAUGGCAGGGGAGGGAAGAACUGCAUCCUCGGCCUCCUGAGGUUGGGAUAGUGAUGACAUAUCUUGACACUGAAGUGACUUUUAUUCAAUUCCAAGGUACUCUGAUGGGAGAGGGGGUUUCUUUUUGAAAAACUGUUCAUAUUUUCCCUAUAGGUCUUUCCUACCAAGGGAGGGACUUGUCCAACUGAGUGGAGGGGACCUGGAAGGGAGGUUCAUCUGGCCUCCAACCAGGGUCAGGAAGAGAAAGUACCAAUGACAUCGCUAGCUGUGUGACCCUGAGCAGGAACCUUAGCCUCUCUGAGCCUCAAGCAAAUACCCUCGUUAUUACCAUUCAAGGGUAAUUGUAUUUCCCUUGAUAAAUGCCUUGCUGGCACACAUUAAUGAUACUGGCUGCCAUUUAUUGAACCUCUGCUCUUAGGCUGACCUAAACUUUGAGAGUUAACCAUACAGAUGACAAAAGGAGUUUUCAGCCUUAUGUGCUAAUCUGGGUACCACAUCAAUAAGAGAAAAGAGGGCAAAUGCUUCUUUGGAGCCUUUUCUUUGUGUUCAGCAUCAGUGUCUCUUCAUUAGAGCUCACUUAGCUUGGAUUAGUGGCUAAAUUUGGGUACUUCUCUGUAUGUUUGUGUGUGUGCAUGCAUGUGUGUAUGUGUGGGUUUUGAAAAACUCCCUAGACAAUUCUGUUACACUUCUUGGCUUAAGGUCACUAUUGAGAAAACUGCACUGCUGUAUUAAAUUAUGCAAAAUCCUUGUAGCUUACCUUUCCUACAAGAUUUAAAAUUUUUUUAAAGAAUCUCACAUUUAGCAAAAAUUGCGAACACAGUAUUUUUAAAAUGGAACCACUUGCCAUCAAAUUGCCAACCUAAUAGUUCAUCAUUUCAGAAUACUUUAGUGUGUAUUUUCCUGUAAACAAGGGCAGUCUUCUGCAUAACCACAACAAAACCAUCAAAACAAGGGUAUUAAAAAAGAUGCAGAGUUUCCAUUGCGGCUCAGUGGGUUCAGCAUCUUAUGUUGUCUCUGUGAGGAUGCGGGUUUGAUCGCUGGCCUUGCUCAGUGGACUAAGGAUCCGGUGUUGCUGUGGCUGUGGUGUAGGCAGGCAGCUACAACUAGGACUCAGCCCCUAACCUGGGAACUUCUAUAUGCCAUGUGUGCAGCCCUAAAAAGAAAAAAGGAAAGGAAGGAAGGAAGGAAGAAAGGGGAAAGCAAAACCAAAGUCCUUUUAGUCUAAGUGUUACCCCAAAGUUCAGGAUUUCACUCAACCUGACUUUCACCUCUGGUGCUUUCUAUGUCUUACUAUAUCCGUUCCAGCACCCAUUGCCAUCAAGACCUUGCCCCCUCUGGGCUGGGUUGGCACCCAGGCUUGGCCCGUGGCACGUGUUCCAUUAGACUGAGAACAGCCUCCUGCAGAAGGUGCUAUCCGGGGGUUACAUCUGUGCUUUGCUCCUCGCCAGCUUCCUGUUUCACGGCAACACCACUCACCCAUUUCAGAACAGGCUUCCGCUUAAAAGGACGGCCGUGGCUACUUGUGUUCAGAAGUGGGAAAUCAAAGUAGGUGUUUUGGAAAGAGCUUCCUGAAAUAAUAGGAACUUUUGACUGCCGUUUUCACAUAAUUUCUUUCACAAGCAUUACUGCUGUAGGGCUAAGUGUUGAUGUAGGCAAUGCCACUUGAAGUAGGAGGAAUGGUAUUUUAAAAAAUCCUCUUAGCUGUUGACAUUAGCUUCCUGGGUUUUUUUUUUUUUUUUUCCCCCUUCUUUUAAACAAAUCUUAAUGGAACAAAUGACAUGACAAAAUACUCUGAAAGCAUCUGCAACACGAGAGCCACCUACACACGCCUCCAGAUAGCAUCUCGACAAGUCUGAAUGCUUCUUUCCCGUGGGUGUCUCUGCGGCUGACUCACGGCUCCACGCUCCAAGCCCAGGGUCUCUGAGCGCAUCCCCCACCCCGCGCCUGCCUCUCUUUCGUCGAUGCAAUCGGGCAAGGCAAAGCAAGUGCCCUCUCAACGCUUCUGAACCCCUGGAACUCUCCUCAAAUGAGUUUGGCUUUUGAAUGGUGCCUGGAGGGAAGGAAUUUCCAGCGCUAGAUUUGCAUUAUUUUCCUGCUGUGCUUUAGAUAUCAUUUUUAAAAUUCCAUUCACACCAGCAGAGGAAAUAGUUUCAAGAAAAUAAAGGGGUUGAAAAUCUAUCUCCUCCGCACCCCCGUAAUUCCCACUCUGCCCCACUGUCAGCGAAUCAAAGAAUCAGGCCAGGGGGUGUUCGCCAGGAUGACCUUCUCCGGGGGGCUCUAAGAUGAUUUUUAAAAAACACGGUAGGGAGGGGGUGUGGAUCCUUCAAAUCGUUUCAUUCCUUUCUCUGUGUGGACAGGAAAGAUACAUCUCAGAGUGGGACGGGCUGAUGGGAGUGUCGGGUAUGUGGUCUCGGGAACCACUCUGUAAUCCAUUCACUAUCAGAGAGAAAUCUGGGUGGCAAGAGGGGGUGGCUGGAAGCGGGAAGCAGGUGACAGUAAUGCAGGGUGCCCAUGAAAACGAAGGGCAGACCUGCCCACAUCCUUCCUCAAGAUGGGACAUUCCAGACGUCAGGAACAUCAGGGCUGAGCGCUCCUUAGAGAAGCUGGGGCCUUCGCAUCAUAAUUUUCACAAAGCGCACCUGAUAGGAUCUGUAGCUAGCCACGUGCUUUAAUUAAAUCCAGCUCAGUCAAGUAUAUCUGGAGAAUCCCUGGAAGAGAUGCUUAGAGAACUGAUCGAUAGGGUCUGAUCGAGAUUCUUCACAGGGCUGACUUUCAGACCGAUGUGGAACGCAAAUGCCUACAGUUUUGAAAUUGGACAGCUCAUGACCAAGUGUCCGUUCUGUGUGCGAACCUGCUCCCCAUCGGUGGACAAGCUUCGUGGGCCCAGCUGCUGGAAAGAAAGACUUGUCCUCGGUCAUGUGACAUGCCCACUUUGCCAGAAUGAUAGACCAAAAGGUCUGGGGACAAUUUCUUAUCCCUGUGGCUGAUGUAUUUGAUGCACUGCCUAGAGCCGUAUCAUUUCCUAGAGCCUUAUCAUGCCCAUGUGUGAUGGAAAGAUAACAAUGGGAAGACUGUGAAAAAUCAAUGUUUAUUCUAUUGCUUACAGUUAAACACAAGGAGUUCCUGCUCUGGCUCAGUGGGUUAAGGACCCAAUGUGAUCUCUGUGAGAAUGAGGGUUCGAUCCCUGGCCUGGCUCAGUGGGCUAAAGAUCCGGCCUUGCCAUAAGCUGAAGCAUAGGUCACAGAUGGGGCUCAGAUCUGGCUUUGCUGUGGCUGUGGUGUAGGUUACAGCUGCAGCUCCAAUGAGAACCCUAACCCAGGAACUGCCAUAUGCUACAGGUGCA
ensembl:lncRNA